UUUUGUGUUUUGCAGCUCUACUAUGACUCUUUAGGAAAACAAUACAGAUCCAAAAAACAAGUGCAGAGAUUAUUGAAAAGACAGAACGAUGCACUGGUCAACUUCGGAGCAAACUGAGACAGAAAGGUCUAUCUCAUAUGUAUGUAAUUCUUCAACAAUGGAGGCCACCAAUUUUCAUUUAGUUAUUUUUAUUUAGCAACACCGUGCGCUAUAUUUCUGGUUGUGUGUAUGCUGGGUAUAUUAUAAGGAGGGCAAAAUUAGAAAAUAUGUGACAAUUGUAUACUAAGGAAUUUGCUGGGUUCAAAUAAAAACUCCUCACAGUUCUUUGUUUUCUUUCGAAGUCAAAAACUCCUCACAGUUCCUUGUUUUCUGUCAAAGUCGAGAGAUUUAAGCAAUUGGACAAAAUCAAAAUACUCUGCCGUCAUUCUCGUCUGGCAUGAUUUCUCUUAUUCAAAAAGAAGCCAGAAGCACGAUUAAUAUGGGUUUGAAGGGGGAUCAGAAAAUUGUAAUCCAAUUUCAUUGGAGCACAUCUCCAUGGAUUUUAAAAAGGAGAAGGCUCAAGCAGAGAGGAUUUCAUUUCGAUGUACGCACAAAUAAAAUCCUGGAAAUUACUUUCUAGCUUUCCAAGAAGAACUAUGUGCGCAUUUGCAUUAGCCGAACAAAAACAUAACAAUACAACCCAAAACACAGAACCAAAAACCAAAUACAAAACUCAAAACGAAGAGACCAAAACAGAGAACUCCAUUCUCUGCCCAGAUGGGCGUGGAGGCUGAAAGGUAGUAUGAGAAGAGUGCAACCCUAAUACACCUUUAUAUAGGGUGAAAUAUCUGCUCAAGAGGUCUUGUUAAAUGACAAAUUUGCCCUACCAAUUUCUGUAAAUUUGCCGUUGUACCUAUUUACAAGAGGGAUUUGGGUUUUGGGUUUUGGGAUUUUGCACAGUGCAAGUGUCCACACUGAAGGAUGAAUACGCUCAACAGGUUGAGGACCCUCGCAUUGCGUUGUUCAAUAUUCACUAAACCCUCAUCGGAAUCACACUCCUCUUUGCAAAACCAGUUACUUUACAGACGACACUUUACCACCACCAGAACCACCACCUCAGAAAUCCCGGCGAAUUUCACCGCGAAUUACCUCAUAAAAUCAUGUGGGUUCUCACCGGAAGCUGCGGUUUCAGUCUCCAACAAGUUCAAACUGUCAUCCCAAGAGAGAGCAGACUCUGUUCUGGCGUUUCUGAGAACCCAUGGAGGACUCUCCGAAGCCCAGAUCUCAAAGCUUCUCAGGUCAUACCCAGGAUACCUUGCAGCGGCCUGUCCCGAAAAGACCCUUCUGCCCAAGAUUGAGUUUUACAGAUCCCUUGGAGUUUCAAAGGAGAACGUCGCCAGAACUGUGUCUUCAAAUCCACUGCUUUUGUCUGUUAGCUUGGAGAAUCGGAUCAUACCAACUUAUGAUUAUCUCAAGAGCUUUCGGCUUUCAAAGAAGAACAUUGCGUCGGUUUUCAAGAGCGGCGCUAGGAUAUUCUUGGAAGGUCACACCAAGAAUGUGGAGCCGAAUCUUGGGCUGUUGAAAGAGUUAGGUAUGUCCCAAGAAUGCAUUUCUAAGUUGCUAACUCAUUUUACUCAUUAUCUGAUGCUAAAGCAUCAGAGGUUUCGUCAAGUUGUGGAUGAUGUUAUGGAAGUGGGUUUUAGUAUGGAUAAGUACACAGCUUUCGGGACGGCAAUCCGAGCAUUUGGGGGGAAGGAUAGUAAGUUGAAAAUGAGUCAAUGUAGAGAAGUGUAUAUGACCAAGUGGGGUUGGACUGAGAAUGAUGUUCUGUCUGCGUUGAAGAAGCAUCCCCGGUGUAUGAUUCUGUCGGAGAAGAAGAUAGAGCAAGUAAUGGAUUUUAUAGUGAACAAGAUGGGAUUGGUGUCAGGGAGAACAAUGGCCAGAUACCCUCAGAUUUGGACUUGCAGUUUCGACAAGAAAGUGAUCCCGAGGUGUAUGGUUUUUAAAGUUUUGUUGCUGAGAGGAUUGGUGAAUGAAAACUGGAGUUUGGGUUAUGUCGUGAAUAUUAGUGAGGACAAGUUCUUGGAGAGGUUUGUAGUAAAGUACUUUGACCAAGUACCGCAAUUGAUGAGUGUGUAUCAAGGGAAAGUGGAUAUCCAGGAUCUGUAAUGGUUUGAAUUCGGUGAGAAGAGUAGCAUUAUAAGCUUUCACCCCAAACUUGUGAGGCAAGGUUGUUGGUGAAGAGAAUUGUAGGAAGCAGAUGUUCACAUUUUUAUGUCUUUUAGUGGAAACCUUCUAAUUUGAUUGAAGUUCACUAUCAGAAGCAACUGCAUCAUAGUCCGUUCAGUUGUUAAAGUUUUGGUCUUGAAAGAGGUUAAAACUCUUGGCACCCAUGUAUUGCAUCCAGUGUAAAAGCAAACUAGCAGCCUGCUUUUUGGCCCCAAAUCUUGUCAAUUGAAGCACCCCUUUG